UACGAAGGGGGCUAGCGUUGCUCGGAAUCACUGGGCGUAAAGCGCGCGUAGGCGGCCUUCUAAGUCAGACGUGAAAUCCCCCGGCUUAACCUGGGAACUGCGUCUGAUACUGGGAGGCUAGAGUAUGGGAGAGGGAUGUAGAAUUCCAGGUGUAGCGGUGAAAUGCGUAGAUAUCUGGAGGAAUACCGGUGGCGAAGGCGGCAUCCUGGACCAUUACUGACGCUGAGGCGCGAAAGCUAGGGGAGCAAACGGG
rnacentral:rRNA from 1 species